GACGAACGCUGGCGGCGUGCUUAACACAUGCAAGUCGAGCGGUAAGGCCCUUUCGGGGUACGACGAGCGGCGAACGGGUGAGUAACACGUGGGUGACCUGCCCUCCAGCUCUGGGAGUAAGCCUCGGGAAACCGGGUACUAAUACCGGAUAUGACUCCAUGACGCAUGUUGUGGGGUGGAAAGCCUUGUGCGGCUGAGGAUGGGCCCGCGGCCUAUCAGCUUGUUGGCGGGGUGAUGGCCUACCAAGGCGACGACGGGUAGCCGGCCUGAGAGGGCGACCGGCCACACUGGGACUGAGACACGGCCCAGACUCCUACGGGAGGCAGCAGUGGGGAAUCUUGCGCAAUGGGCGAAAGCCUGACGCAGCGACGCCGCGUGA
rnacentral:rRNA from 1 species